rnacentral:rRNA from 1 species
UACGUAGGCAGCGAGCGUUGUUCGGAUUUACUGGGCGUAAAGCGUGCGUAGGCGGUGUCUUAAGUUUGUUGUGAAAUCUCCCGGCUUAACCGGGAGGGUGCGGCGAAUACUGAGAUGCUGGAGUGCGGGAGAGGUAAGCGGAAUUCCUGGUGUAGCGGUGAAAUGCGUAGAUAUCAGGAGGAACACCUGCGGUGUAGACGGCUUACUGGACCGUAACUGACGCUGAGGCACGAAAGCGUGGGUAGCAAACAGG